rnacentral:rRNA from 1 species
UAGGGAGCAAGCGUUAUCCGGAUUUACUGGGUGUAAAGGGCGAGUAGGCGGGUCGGCAAGUUGGGAGUGAAAUGUCGGGGCUUAACCCCGGAACUGCUUCCAAAACUGUUGAUCUUGAGUGAUGGAGAGGCAGGCGGAAUUCCCAGUGUAGCGGUGAAAUGCGUAGAUAUUGGGAGGAACACCAGUCGCGAAGGCGGCCUGCUGGACAUUAACUGACGCUGAGGAGCGAAAGCGUGGGGAGCAA